rnacentral:misc_RNA from 1 species
UUUUUUUAUUAAAAUUACACGAUUAGCCAUGAAGAAUGUACAUAAUUUUUGUGUGUGGCGUAAAACUAAGCAAAACAUUGAAUCAAAAUUCAAGAAAAUUUGAAAUAAAUUCUUUGAAUUGCGCAAACAAGAACCAUGGAGAUUCUUCAAUAUUGCAUAAAAUAUGGAAUCAUUUUAGUCUUUCUUUGGUGGACGAUUCUUGUUACAGUUAAUAGUCGUAAUAUUGAUGAUGGUGAUGAUGACAAUAAUGAUAAAAAAGAACUACAAAAAUCUGAUGUUAUCACUGAUUCAGCCAGUGUAGCUAACACAGUGGACAAAAAAUCAAAGGCUUUGAAGAUCAUUAAAUUCGUAAAAGGCGCUUACACAGUUGCUAAAGCUAUUUUACCUUUAUUUGUAUAAAGGUGAUCAGUUUGUUUAUUGAUCAAAAUAUGUUUAACAUUAAUUUUUCCCGCUAUUCAAUUAUUAUUAUUCUGUAUUCAGAAUUACCUUCUGUUGAUGUAUAAAUUGUACACAUUCAUACAUAAUAAACAUCCUUAUUCAUUGUUUUAAAAAGGAAAGUUUUAAAAAUUUUAUCUUCUUGGACAAAAAGAAUCUAUUGAUAAAAAUUUAAAGAAUCAUAAAUUUAUAUACAAAAAUAUUCUUAUUAUGGAUAAACAACGAAACAGAGAUAAUCGUCGUCAGAAACAAAAACUCAAUGCAAAAAAAAAUCGUCGAGUUACUCCACAAACGGUUCCAUCGCAAGAAAAAAAUGCUCCUGUAGUAAGGAAUGAGUCUUCUUCUGAUGAAAGUGAUGAUGUGUAUGAUAUGUUUGAUUAUGUGAAUCAAAACUUUGUUCAACCAAAAUCGCGAUACGCUAAUAAUCCAGAGGGAGAUUCAAAGUCCACUAUUGAUUUCGAAGAUUUGGCGAAUGCGGCAGUAUCUUGUGCAUAUUUUCAAUUUAAAUCAGAAAAAAAUUGGACUGAAGAUAUUUCUAAAUACAGUGAACUCUUAGCUAUUGAUAUAAGAAAUUUAGAAACGAUUGUUGAUUGCAUACCUUAUCACCAACUUGUUGAGGUUGAUGACACUUAUUUUACUGAAGAUCAGUUAACAUAUUUCAACAGUAGAGCUGAACAAUCAGAAAAAUCAUAUGAAAUUGAAUUAUUGGAAAGAGAAAAAAUAAGGGAACGAGAUUGUCGGAAUGAUGAUAUUAUUAAAAAUAAAAAAAAGAAUUCCGAAGUUAAUGAAACUGAAAAAGUGGAUGAUGAUUUAGAUUUUCUUCUGUCAUUGAAAGAGCCAGAGCCAAUAAAACUUACUCCAGUAGCUAACACAUUUUCAAUGUCUAAAACUAAUGAAGAACAAAAAGUAUCUAAAAGUACAUCGAAUACCAAUUCAAUUGAUCUUGAGAAAUGGUUGGACUCAGUUUUAGAUCUUUAAAUUGAUCUAAAUAACAAAAAUAUAUAUAGAUCAUAUCGUACAAUAUUUACACUUAUAUCAAGGUCCGAGUCGAAGAAUUUUCGGUAAUAAUCCUUUGUACAACGCUGUUAGUCUGUGGAUGAAUAUUAUAAAUAAUGAUAACUUUAAAUUUUAUAACGAUAGUCAAGCUGCUAAAAAAAAAUAAAGUAAACAUACCCUUCUUGUCUAUAUACGAUUCCAAGUGUAUUUAGAGUUCCCUUGUAAUACAUACUACCUUGGGGACCUUGGAUUCGACUUUUCACCACGUCAAAUGGAAUAUUCAAACAUGAAGCUAAUGUGCCUGCCAUGAAUCCUAAACUUACCUAUUAUCAUUAUUAUUUUUUAUUUCAAUUAAUCGAAGUAAAAUUAAUAAAUGUAUUAAUAAAUUGA